UCUUUUUUUUUUUUGAUAUUGAACUUUAUUUAUUGUACCACAUUGCAUUGAAAAUUUGGUUUAAAAAUGUCUCAUGAACAGCAACAAUCCUGAAUUUGUAACUUUCCUGAAUUAUAGCUAAAUGUCUAUAUUCAGCUUUGAGCAGUUUUAGUAAAUCAAAUCAAAUGUAACAAUUAUGAUUAUCCCUAUUGAUGUUCUAACAUUGUGACGUCCACAAGGGAAGAGAGUUCAGAAAGUGAACACAUUUCAACCCGCCCUUUUGAAGGGACCCACUGAUGCCUCAGAUCAAAUCACAGUGGCUUAAAGUCAGGUUUGUGUGACUUUGGCACCAACUUGGAAAUGGCUUGGUCACCAGAGAGGUUAACAAACAACUGUCCCAUAUAUACCACAUUUAUCUUCCACAUCUGUAUGUCUUCUGUCACAGCAGCAUUUGAUACAGGGCUUGGAGUGCUUGUGGUUCAUCAGUGGUGGGAGAGGUCUUUGGUGAAAGGGCGUGAGGUAGUCUGAUCCCACAGGGAACUCUGGAAAAGGAGCAGGAGCAGGAGCAGGACUUGUACUACAAAAUCAGUCCCCUUUGUACUCCGGUUCCAGGCAGCUUAUGGCUGCAGGCCACAGGCUUCAUGGGCAGUGAGCUCAAUGUCCCUAACAGCCAACUUUGUAGCAACUUAGGAGAUGACUGCCACAGCCUGUUAAAGGAGAUGUGGGCCGUGCCCAUCAGCAACCAUUUUCUGCGGAUGUUUGCUGCUUACUUUCGCCGUGUUAGAGAAACAAAGUACUGGGCCAAAUCAGAGUAGAAAAAAGUUCUUAUCUAGAUGAUUGGAUCAGGAAAGGUUUUUGUCUCACUGUCACAGACUAAACUUCUCACUCCAGCCAUCACUUGGCCACAGGGGCAUCAUAAGAAACAUGCAAAUUUUCACUACUACUGGAAAAGUGAUUCCUACCACAACAAGAAAAAAUGUUUUCUGCAAAUAGGCAUCCAAGCUACUUGUUAUUAUUUAACCUGUUAAUGCCUGAUUUCCUGCUUUAGUUCCCACUUAGAUGCCCCAGGUCCCUUAGGAAUAGGUCCUUGUGCCCCUGAGUCCAUUUGGAGAUUUGCCCACUCACCAGUCCUGUGGCUUCCUGCUGCCUAGUGACAGCCUCCUUGGGCCACAUGCCACAUGCCCACUCACCUGCCUGCCUGCAUCUGCACCUAAGGUCGACUGCCAGACAGCUCUCCUUCCCACAGAAUGGGAAGAACAGAUGGAAUAGUCUUGACAAAGUGGUGUAAAGAGAGAAAAUGCCAGCUACACUGCAAUAGGAAAUGAGAGUUAAACUCCUUUAUGAGAAAAGGGAGUUGCUACAAAUGGAUGGAAGAGCGGUGCAUAGCAAAUGCUGCUCCCAGCUCUCUCCACAUUGCUGCGGUCCCCAUAGCUACUCAUCUACCACCAUCACAAAUAAAAAUGGCCUCAGGGAACGGCUGCCUAGAUUGUGCUGCUAAUGGUGCACAAAUAUGUAAGACUUUAUUCUAAAGGUGGUCUCUAAAAAUAACGACUAGGGAACUGUCUUAAAAAUGUAGAUCCUGGAGCAGGUCACAGACCUCAUUCUGAGAUUCAGUGUCUUCUCUGCUCCCAAGCCACAUCUCCACCUCAAUACAUCUUUCUGAGUGGUAUUGGGAGUGAGUAGGAAUCCCCAAGCCCAGGUAGGGAGUCCCUAGUAACCAUAUUGACUCCCAUCAGUCGUGAUUUCAUAGACCUGAAAGCCUCAGUCAUCAUGAGAGCAUCUCACCCUCAGGAUAGUUUCUACCUAUAUGGUUUCCUUU
rnacentral:lncRNA from 1 species